rnacentral:lncRNA from 1 species
CUUUAAACUCAGAUUUAAAUCUCAAUUAGGGAUUCAUUUAAAAUUUACAGGUGAGGAGGUUUAAAGAAAAUAAAGUGCACCUACAGUUACAAUUAUGUGGCUGAUUGAACAAAGACAGAAACAGCGGGUGUGUCGUCAGGUCUCAGAGAGGUGUUUAUUAUAAAUAAAAAUGAAAAUUAAAGCGCACUGAGCCAGCAGAUUUUGAGGGUUGUUGCAGCCCAUAGUAAACUUGUGUCUCGCCUUACGACAAAGAAAAGAAAAGAAGACAGGAUCGCGGCCGCACCUCUCGUUUCUCACGCCCGCUCCAUGCCUGCUCUUGAACGGCGAUCAAACGGACAGGGCGCCACUGUCACGAGCGAAGCCAAGAACCACCCUUGCCAAGACUUGUCAACUCAACCAUCUCACCCACACAGAAAGACAAGGACCUUGGUAUCACGUUAGACAACUGUCCUUUAGUCUGUUUAUAAAACGUUUGCAAGACCUUCUCUUACCUGCUCAGAUUCUGCGUCAGGCCUCAGUCGGAUCCCAUCUUCACUCCUGCAACUUACUUCAAGCUGGCCUCCCUUGUUAUUACAUGGUAUGCCGCUCUCACUUGGCUCCAGUUGAUCACCAACUGCUUCAUUAUACACUCUCUCUUGAUAGGAUCCGUAAAGCCAUUAAACUGUUCAGAACCAACAACAAAAUCGCUCCUUAAUGCCAUGAAAGAGGAAGUCAUCCUCUACAGCGAUGCAAGGCCAGUUAUAAGUCUGAGUACUCCCACCAAUGUCACCGUGGACUUGACUCUCUAUGGAAUCUUAGGAGUG